CGGUGGAGCAUGUGGUUUAAUUCGAAGCAACGCGAAGAACCUUACCAAAUCUUGACAUCCUCUGACAACUGUAGAGAUACAGCUUCCCUUCGGGCGAGAGUGACAGGUGGUGCAUGGUUGUCGUCAGCUCGUGUCGUGAGAUGUUGGGUUAAGUCCCGCAACGAGCGCAACCCUUAAGUUUAGUUGCCAUCAUUAAGUUGGGCACUCUAGACUGACUGCCGGUGACAAACCGGAGGAAGGUGGGCGACGUCAAGUCAGCAUGCCCCUUAGUCCCUGGGUCACGGCGCCGAGUCGUGGAGG
rnacentral:rRNA from 1 species